GACGAACGCUGGCGGCGUGCCUAAUACAUGCAAGUUGAGCGAUGAAGAUUGGUGCUUGCACCAAUUUGCAGAGCAGCGAACGGGUGAGUAACGCGUGGGGAAUCUGCCUUUGAGCGGGGGACAACAUUUGGAAACGAAUGCUAAUACCGCAUAAUAACUUUAAACAUAAGUUUUAAGUUUGAAAGAUGCAAUUGCAUCACUCAAAGAUGAUCCCGCGUUGUAUUAGCUAGUUGGUGAGGUAAAGGCUCACCAAGGCGAGGAUACAUAGCCGACCUGAGAGGGGAAUCUGCCAAGCUGGGACGGGAAGACGGCCAAAACUACUGCGGGAGGCAGCAGUAGGGGAUCUUCGGCGAUGGACGAAAGGCUGAACGAGCAACGCCGAGUGAGUGAAGGAGGGUUUCGGAUCGUAAAACUCUGUUGGUAGAGAAGAACGUUGGUGGGAGUGGAAAGCUCAUCAAGUGACGGUAACUACCCAGAAAGGGACGGCUAACUACGUG
rnacentral:rRNA from 1 species